CAGCAGCCGCGGGAAUACGAAGGGGGCUAGCGUUGCUCGGAAUUACUGGGCGUAAAGGGAGCGUAGGCGGAUCGUUAAGUUGGGGGUGAAAGCCCGGGGCUCAACCUCGGAACUGCCUUCAAUACUGGCGAUCUUGAGUAUGAGAGAGGUGAGUGGAACUCCGAGUGUAGAGGUGAAAUUCGUAGAUAUUCGGAAGAACACCAGUGGCGAAGGCGACUCACUGGCUCAUUACUGACGCUGAGGCUCGAAAGCGUGGGGAGCAAACAGGAUUAGAUACCCCAGUAGUCCCUGUCUCUUAUAC
rnacentral:rRNA from 1 species